GACGAACGCUGGCGGCGUGCUUAACACAUGCAAGUCGAACGGAAAGGCCCAGCUUGCUGGGUGCUCGAGUGGCGAACGGGUGAGUAACACGUGGGUGAUCUGCCCCUAACUUCGGGAUAAGCUUGGGAAACUGGGUCUAAUACCGGAUAGGACAAUCGUUUAGUGUCGGUUGUGGAAAGUUUUUUCGGUUAGGGAUGAGCCCGCGGCCUAUCAGCUUGUUGGUGGGGUAAUGGCCUACCAAGGCGUCGACGGGUAGCCGGCCUGAGAGGGUGGACGGCCACAUUGGGACUGAGAUACGGCCCAGACUCCUACGGGAGGCAGCAGUGGGGAAUAUUGCACAAUGGGCGCAAGCCUGAUGCAGCGACGCCGCGUGGGGGAUGACGGCCUUCGGGUUGUAAACCUCUUUCGACAGGGACGAAGCUUUGGUGACGGUACCUGGAUAAGAAGCACCGGCUAACUACGUG
rnacentral:rRNA from 1 species